AACUGGGUCGCUGGUUUCUUAGCAGACAGAAGCAUAAAGGUCGUAGUUGACGGCGAAUGCUCUGAAACUCACUCUGUUGAUGCUAGUGUCCCUCAGGGCUGUGUGCUAUCGCCUACUUUAUUCAUACUGCAUAUCAAUGACAUGUUACAGACCAACGGCAU